UCGAUAGAGGCGCGGGAUCCAUCAGUAGCGCCGCCGAGCCCCUCCAAGGGCGUCGAAGCGGCGGGAAAGGGGCUUUCGCCGAAAUCCGGCGUCGGAUUGGAGCCGAUCCGGGUUGGGGAAUCGCAGAACAUGCGGUUCACUGUCACGGCCUCCGCCGUGGAGCGCUAUCU
rnacentral:ncRNA from 1 species